GACGACAUUGUUUUUCGGGGGUCGAUCGGUUUUCGGGACAUCUGCUGGCGAGAAUGGGAAGCUACCGAUGCUUGUCUCUCCCGCGAGAAAUAACGAGGACAGCCACGUUUUUCGAACAAGUAUUUUAUCAAGCUCUUAUUUGCGAAAUAUUCCUCGAGUAAUUAUGCAGCUUUGUUAUUUGAUGCUAAAAGUUUCGUUUUUGAUAAAAUUAAAAAAAAAAAGAAAUGCACUUGACAACCUCAUUGCAUAAGUCUCACUUAACACUAACCUAACCAAAUUCGUGAAAUGAGUUUCAUACGUUCGUCAUUUCAAAUCACAUUUCUUCAGACACUUUUCUUGAAAUCUCUGUUAACUUUCACGGAGAUAAAGAACUAGCAUGUAUAUUAAGUUACGUUUCACCUUUUAUUUAUUUUUCAUUUUGAAGAAUGUGCACCGAUACGUUUAGUGUUAACAUGGCUGCAAAAUAACACAAAAGAAGAGCAUAGGGUGUAAGAGUUAUAAGUGCGUGUUAAAAGAGAGUUGUAUAAACAAAGAUUUGACAAAAUUCAUGAAAAGAAAAAGAAACCGGUUCCACGUUUUCAAUCGUAGUUACGUCAGGUAUUACCCAAUGAGAGAGAAGCUCUCGAUUGCACCCACUGCAGAAGCAAGCGUGUUGUACCAACCUUGCUUUAUCUUGUCCUCUCUUUCGCUAGGAUAUUACGUCUUAUGACUACAGCUGGAUAUAAACAUUGGCCUUCUGAACCGGACGAAUUUGAGAGAAGUCAAUCAUCGAGCUCAGCUUUCAAAGGAAUGUAUUUCACGUAUGUAUUCGUGUCGUCGUAUCCGAACACGGAUGCGUGUAAGCAACGAAGCAAAGGAGCGAUCCUCAACUUCGAAUUGCUUGCGCAAUGAUUCGAACUCGUAGCUCGGUAAGAGCGGAUGAACUUUUCCGUAUUGGGAAUGCUUAUGAAAUAAUCUAGCAGGAGGAUCGGCUGCUUAAAGUAACGAGUAAAGAGCUAGCGAAGUUGCGCAAAACCGUGGUCGAAGAUGAGAGGAAGACAGUAGGGACAGCUAUCUACGAAGAGGAUUCGUAGAAGAAAUUCUGUGGCGUAAUGUCGACCUCCGUUCUCUACUCCCUCCCGAUCGAGAUCGUUUCUCCUUUAUACCGUUGACGGAGAAGCCUCGAUUAUGUGCCACGGCGAGGAAACGAGAAGAAGAAAGGAGAAGAGACUGGGACAGGAUGGGAGAGGGUGAAGGGAAAAGAGUUAACCGAGAGUUCAUCGCUUAUUAUGUAAGCAACGAAAAUAGAAACAAUAUCUGCAGAGAUUUUGAGGUUAUGCAACUAUUUUGAUGAUAAUUAUAAAUUUUUGGUCGGCAGCCUAUAAACAACGCACCUCACCUUGCAUUACGCUUAUCAGUUCUGAAGGCCUCGUAUUUGUCUCUGGAGCUAGCGACACUACUUUAUAUUCCCCGAUAUAAAGAUAUCGAAAUAUAAUAUCCGAGUAUAUUUACCGUCGCAUCCAACACGUGCACAUCGGCUAUCAGGAACUCUACCGCAAAAUGCAAAUUUAUUUGGUGGUGUAAAAAAACGAGGAUAGUUGAUGGUGACCGUAUAUGCACAGUUCGGUACGCCUUGACCGUUUAUUUUGAAUUUGUUGCAAGUUCGAUGACCGACGACGAUGAACCACGGCCAUGAAGAAAGGCUGUGCCCGCAUAAGCAUUCCUCCAUACAUAUACGUGUAUCACAACUCAUAAAUACACGAUGUGCAUUCACAAUUUUUACCCGUUGAUCCCUUGUAUUUCAAUAUUCCCUUCCACCAUUUUACUUUUUCACCGCGUGCCUUUCAUUGUCUGCCAUUUUUGUCCAUAUAGGCAUGUAAAACUUCAGCUAAGGGAUCGUGAAGUAAUUACAAGAAAGGAGAAAUGUCAUUUAAAAUUAAAACAGAUUCUUUUCAUUGAGUU